AUAGCGACUAUCGUGGCAUAUCAAUAAGCGGAGGAAAAGAAACUAACAAGGAUUCCCCUAGUAACGGCGAGUGAAGCGGGAAGAGCUCAAAUUUGAAAUCUUAAAGGGUUUCCCUUUACGAAUUGUAGUUUAAAGAAGUGUUUUCUGUUGGAGUUUCGGUAAAAGUUCUUUGGAAUAGGACAUCAUAGAGGGUGAGAAUCCCGUAUUUGACCGUUACUUUCCAGCUGUGUGAUACACUUUCAAAGAGUCGGAUUGUUUGGGAAUGCAGUCCAAAAUGGGUGGUAAAUUUCAUCUAAAGCUAAAUAUUGGCGAGAGACCGAUAGCGAACAAGUACCGUGAGGGAAAGAUGAAAAGAACUUUGAAAAGAGAGUUAAACAGUACGUGAAAUUGUCAAAAGGGAAGCGUUUGACACCAGUGUUGUUUAGUUGAAAAUCAAUUCAAUAAUUUUUGAUUUUGAGUAGUAUUGACUUCAUCAGCUUGCUGCUUUCUUUUCAGGAAUUAUUGAAUGCACUUUUCAGUUAACAAGUCAACAUCAAUUUCUUUUGUUGUAAAAGGGUAAGAGGAAGGUGGCUUACGCUUCGGCGUAAGUGUUUAUAGCCUUUUACCUCUGCAAUCGGAGAGAUUGAGGUCAGCAGCGUAGACUCCUUCGGGGGUUAGAUACGUUUGUGCUAAGUUAUAGCUUUUCAUAGACAACUUGUUGACUAUGUUUAGUCUUGUAGCUUACUCGCUGAUGCUAUUUUACCUACGCUUAGGAUGUUGA
rnacentral:rRNA from 1 species